rnacentral:rRNA from 1 species
GAUGAACGCUGGCGGCGUGCCUAAUACAUGCAAGUCGAGCGAACAGAUGCGGAGCUUGUUCCUCUGACGUUAGCGGCGGACGGGUGAGUAACAACUGGAUAACCUCCUUAUAAGACUUGGAUAACUACGGGAAACCGGAGUUAAUACCGGAUAAUAUAUUGAACCGCAUGGUUCAAUAGUGAAAGACGGUUUUGCUGUCACUUAUAGAUGGAUCCGCGCCGCAUUAGCUAGUUGGUAAGGUAAUGGCUUACCAAGGCAGCGAUGCGUAGCCGACCUGAGAGGGGGGUCGACGACACUGGAGCGGAUACACGGUCCAGACGCCUACGAGAGGAGGCAGUAGGGAAGCUUCCUCAAUGGGCGAAGGCCUGACGGAGCAACGCCGCGUGGGUGAUGAAGGUCGUCGGAUCGUAAAACUCUGUUAUUAGGGAAGAACAAAUGUGUAAGUAACUAUGCGCGUCUUGACGGUACCUAAACAGAAAGCCACGGCUAACUACGUG